AUUGAACGCUGGCGGCAGGCCUAACACAUGCAAGUCGAGCGAGCGGCGGACGGGUGAGUCAUGUAUGGGGACUGCCCGAUAGAGGGGGAGAACUACUGGAAACGGUGGCUAAUACCGCAUACUGUUGGAUAACCCAUAUGGGAUUAGCUAGUAGGUAAGGUAAUGGAUUACCUAGGCAACGAUCCCUAGCUGGUCUGAGAGGAGAAUCAGCCACACUGGUACUGGGACACGGCCCAGACUCCUACGGAGGCCGCAGUGGUGAUUAUUGCACAAUGGGCGCAAGCCUGAUGCAGCCAUGCCGCGUGUAUGAAGAAGGCCCUAGGGUUGUAAAGUACUUUCAGUCGGGAGGCGUUACCGACAGAAGAAGCACCGGCUAACUACGUGCCAGCAGCCGCGGUAAUAC
rnacentral:rRNA from 1 species